AUUGAACGCUGGCGGCAGGCCUAACACAUGCAAGUCGAGCGGUAGAGAGGUGCUUGCAUCUCUUGAGAGCGGCGGACGGGUGAGUAAUGCCUAGGAAUCUGCCUAGUGGUGGGGGAUAACGUUCGGAAACGGACGCUAAUACCGCAUACGUCCUACGGGAGAAAGCGGGGGAUCUUCGGACCUCGCGCCAUUAGAUGAGCCUAGGUCGGAUUAGCUAGUUGGUGAGGUAAUGGCUCACCAAGGCGACGAUCCGUAACUGGUCUGAGAGGAUGAUCAGUCACACUGGAACUGAGACACGGUCCAGACUCCUACGGGAGGCAGCAGUGGGGGAAUAUUGGACAAUGGGCGAAAGCCUGAUCCAGCCAUGCCGCGUGUGUGAAGAAGGUCUUCGGAUUGUAAAGCACUUUAAGUUGGGAGGAAGGGCAGUUACCUAAUACGUGAUUGUUUGACGUUACCGUACAGAAUAAGCACCGGCU
rnacentral:rRNA from 1 species